GACAGAGGGUGCAAACGUUGUUCGGAAUUACUGGGCGUAAAGCGUGUGUAGGCGGCUUCGCAAGUUGGAUGUGAAAUCCCACGGCUCAACCGUGGACGUGCAUCCAAAACUGCGUCGCUAGAGUCUCGGAGAGGAAGGUGGAAUGCUUGGUGUAGAGGUGAAAUUCGUAGAUAUCAAGCAGAACACCUGCGGCGAAGGCGGCCUUCUGGACGAUGACUGACGCUGAGACACGAAAGCGUGGGGAGCAAACAGG
rnacentral:rRNA from 1 species